rnacentral:rRNA from 1 species
AGCAUAUCAAUAAGCGGAGGAAAAGAAACCAACAGGGAUUGCCCUAGUAACGGCGAGUGAAGCGGCAACAGCUCAAAUUUGAAAUCUGGCUCUUUUAGAGUCCGAGUUGUAAUUUGCAGAGGGCGCUUUGGCUUUGGCAGCGGUCCAAGUUCCUUGGAACAGGACGUCACAGAGGGUGAGAAUCCCGUACGUGGUCGCUGGCUAUUGCCGUGUAAAGCCCCUUCGACGAGUCGAGUUGUUUGGGAAUGCAGCUCUAAAUGGGAGGUACAUUUCUUCUAAAGCUAAAUAUUGGCCAGAGACCGAUAGCGCACAAGUAGAGUGAUCGAAAGAUGAAAAGCACUUUGGAAAGAGAGUCAAACAGCACGUGAAAUUGUUGAAAGGGAAGCGCUUGCAGCCAGACUUGCUUACAGUUGCUCAUCCGGGUUUCUACCCGGUGCACUCUUCUGUAGGCAGGCCAGCAUCAGUUUGGGCGGUAGGAUAAAGGUCUCUGUCACGUACCUCCUUUCGGGGAGGCCUUAUAGGGGAGACGACAUACUACCAGCCUGGACUGAGGUCCGCGCAUCUGCUAGGAUGCUGGCGUAAUGGCUGUAAGCGGCCC